GAGAGAGAGGAGAGGAGAAGCUGGAAGAUCCGACCUGGGUGACUCUGGAGUGAUUUUAUCUCUUUUUUAUCUCAUGGGCCUUUGGGAUCCCCCUGACUUUGGGGUUUUUCAAAUCCUUUUCCAAUUCCUGGGGCUCUGGGCACAACUGCAGCAAGGCAAACCCAGCUGGCAGCUGGAGGCUGCUCCCUCCUCUCCUCAUUCCAGAGCUCCUCUCCUCUCCCUCCUGCUUUUGCAGCAGCUGAUGGAGCUGCUGGAAGUUUGGAGCCUGCACUUUUGGGUUGUGAUUUCUCUCUGGAAAUGACUGAGCCUGCUGUUUGGCAGUUAAUAAUCUGCAUAAUUACAGCUCCAGCAGCAGAUCCUGUGCCUUUAGAAAGUGCACUGGAAUCUAAACACCUUCUCCUUCCCUGCCUCGCAGUGUUAUUCAUUUAUUCCUCCCCUAAAUGACAACAGAAUUAAUUCUGGAGACACCUGUUGCUCCAAGUGGAGCCAGUGGAUUAAUAAAAGCCUUAAUUAUUAAUGGCAGCAACUGCUCCCUAAUGAUUGUUUGCUGCAGAGUUAAUGUUUGAUUGGGGAAGGUCAUCUGCAAGGCUGGGUAGGAAACCUGGCUGGCUGAGGGCAUUAAUCAGGUUAAAACAAUUAAUUCCCUUCUCCUCGGGUCCUCCUGAGCAUCCCAAAGAUCCUGGAGGAGGGAAACACCGCAGGUUUAAUCCAGUGGGAGGAAUUCCAGCAGGGAUUUCAGCUCUUCCUGGGCUUCUCUGAGCCGGGCAGGGCCACCUUGUCUGCCCCAAAAGCCAAAAGCCUCGGGGGUUUGGGAGGGCUCAGGAGUGAGAACAUUCCAGAAGGGCAGUGGGAACAGGGGCUGCUGCUGCUCUCUGCUCACACACUGUGCUGAAAUGGGAGAAAUCCUCAUGAUAAUCUGGGCUGUAAAACCUCUGUCUGAGCUGGGGGUGUUCCCCAAAACUGCCUGGGCUGGGGGUGCCACCCCAAAUCUCUGCUUGGGCUGGGGGUGCCACCCCAAAUCUCUGUGUGAGCUGGGGGUGCCACCCCAAAUCUGUCUGAGCUGGGGGUGCCACCCCAAAACUGCCUGCGCUGGGGGUGCCAUCCCAAAUCUCUGUGUGAGCUGGGGAUGCCACCCCAAAACUGAGCUGGGCUGGAGGUGCCACCCCAAAUCUCUGCCUGAGCUGGGGGUGCCACCCCAAAUCUCUGUUUGAGCUGGGGAUUUUGGGAUGGCACACCCAGCUCAGACAGAGAUUUGGGGUGGCAUCCCCAGCUCAGACAGAGAUUUGGGGUGGCACCCCCAGCCCAGGCAGUUUUGGGGUACACUCUCAGCCACCCCAAAACUGAGCUGGGCUGGAGGUGCCACCCCAAAACUGAGCUGGGGGUGCCACCCCAAACCUCUCCCUGGGCUGGGGGUGCCACCCCAAAUCUCUGUCUGUGCCUGCCCAGUCCCGGGUGAGUGGCCCCAGCAGGGACUGGGAUCUUCCCCGGCCAUCCCAGCGGGAUUUUCCCUCCCCAUCCCGGCUCCAAGCGAUGCUGCUGAGCCUUCCUGCUCCAGCCGGGCAGGGAGCAGCUCUGGGAGGGCGUUUUCCCUUCCCAAUCCCGCAUUUCCUCAUCCUCUCUGCUGCGGGGAACCCGGGAAUGGCAGCAGGAGCCGGGAUCCAGCUUGGGAUCCUCCUGGAGCGAUGAUUGCUGGGGAUCAGGGUGGGAAUAAACCUCGGGCUCCCUCUCCCUGCGCUUUCCCAGCUUUGCCCUCUCUGCUCUUGGAAGUUUUCUGUUCUUUUCCCUCCAAAAGGAGGCACAACCUUGGGGAAAAGGCUCGGGAAAAGCUCGGGAAAAGCUCGGGAAGGAAGGGCGUUGUCACAGGCGUUGUUGGAGGAGCGGAUGUUUAACUCCAGGAAUGAAAACAAAACCCCUUGGAGGAGAUCCCGGGGCCUCGAGGGUCCGGAAUCAUCAGGAAUGGGGCUGGGAAAACGGGAAUGGCAAGAGGGAGAACGCCAGGAGGGAGAAGGAGCCAAAAGCAGAGCUCAGGGCACGGUGGAAAGGUCCUGGCAGGGAAAUAAAAGGCGCAGUUUUAUCCCUCCGAGCUGCCAGAGGCUUGGGAAGCGCCGGCUGGGAAAGGAGCGGGGUGGGAGACAGCAGAGCCCGGCCGGGGAUCGGGAGGAGGGAUCGGAGGAACGGGACAAUCCCGAGCCUUUGGCACAGGGCAAUCACUGCAGGAUCCCCUCAUCUCCCGCUGAUGCUCCCAGGCCGGGCCCGGGCAGCAGCUCCGGCUCCUGGGAUUUUCAUUCCCGAGGUUUUCAUUCCCGAGGUUUUGGCCCCCGGGGUUUUGACUCCCGGAGGUUUUGGCUCCAGGGAUUUUGGCUCCCUGAGAUUUUGGCUCCAGGGAUUUUGAUUCCCGGGGAUUUUGGCUCCAGGGAUUUUGGCUCCGGAAGUUUUGGCCCCCGGGAUUUUGAUUCCCGAAGUUUUGGCUCCCCGGGAUUUUGGCUCCAGGGGUUUUGAUUCCCGAAGUUUUGGCUCCAGAGAUUUUGAUUCCCUGGGAUUUUGAUUCCCGAGGUUUUCACUCCAGGGGAUUUUGACUUCCAGGGAUUUUGGCCCCCGAGAUUUUGAUUCCAGAAGUUUUGGCUCGUGGGAUUUUGGCUCCAGGGAUUUUGAUUCCCGGGGAUUUUGGCUCCCGGGAUUUUGGCUCUGGAGGUUUUGGCCCCCGGGAUUUUGAUUCCCGAAGUUUUGGCUCCAGGGAUUUUCAUUCCCGAGGUUUUGACUCCAGGGGAUUUUGAUUCCCGAGGUUUUGACUCCUGGGAUUUUGAUUCCCGAGGUUUUGACUCCUGGGAUUUUGAUUCCCUGGGAUUUUGAUUCCCGAGGUUUUGGCUCCUGGGAUUUUGAUUCACUGGGAUUUUGAUUCCCGAGGUUUUGACUCCUGGGAUUUUGAUUCCCGGGGAUUUUGGCCCCCGGGAUUUUGAGGAUUGAACCCUCCCUGCCCGCUGUUCCCGUCACUCUCCAGCUCCUUUCCAGGGAAUUCCCAGGGAUAUUCCCGGGAUUGUUCCUGCUGGUGGCUCUGGCUCUGCUCAGCCCGAACCCCCUGGGUGCCAGCAGGGCUCAGCUCCAGCUCCAUCCUCAUCCUCCUGGACCUCUCAUUAUUCCCAUUCUGGCAGCAGGGAUGGGAGCUCGGGAAGAAACUGGGAAUUUCAUUUAUUUCAGGGGUUUUUUGUUUGUUUUUGUUGUUUUUUGGGUUUUUUUAGAUUGCGGGGUUUUGUUUUAUUUGGGGUUUUUGUUGGUUUUUUGUUUGGUUUUCUUGUUGUUUGGGUUUUUAUUUUAAUUUGAAAAGUCCACUGGGCAGGAAAAAGAGCCAGAAAUGCAUCUCAGAGAUAAAAAAACCCCAAACUUCGUGUCCAGCUGGAGCUGGAGGGAGAACAGAGCUUGGCAGGACAGAAUUCUCUGGAAUUCCAGAGCCUCCUCCUCUGGAAGUGGCACGGGAUGUUCGCUGGCUCUCAUGGAUUCAGCCACUCGCUUUUAUGGAUUCCCUGAAAAGCUGGAGCAGCAAAACCCCCCUGGUUCCUGCCUGGAGCUAAAACUGUGGAGCAACACCUGAAAUUUUCCUUUCUCACCCCAUCCAGGUGCUGAGAGCUGCUCUUCUUCCCACGUGGAAUAAUCUGGGAGCCCCCAAAUCUGCAGGCAGCUGCAAUUUCACCCCGCUGCAUUUUCAUCUUUGCUGCAUUACAUAACGAGACAUCAAUAAAACAAAUCCAGUUUAACACUGGGCUGAGGCCUGAAUUCCACGUGAGAAAAAGCAGAAUUAACCCAAAUAAAUGACUGAACUCCUGUUC